CCAUGGUAACGACCGAUAAGGCUCAUGGGUAUUGUAUUUUUCCACCAAAUCGAUGGAAAAACGGCAACAUUUCUCAGAAAAGACACGGCAACAUUUAACGAUGGUGAGAAGCCUAUGGAAUAAUGGAAUACAUUUAAAAAAAACCGGAUAAAGUCUCCUCAUUACAUGUUGAGUAAUGUAGCUUUGAAAUUAAAUUACAGUAAUUAUAAUAUUAAAAAAUAAAAAUGAAUAACAAAUGAGAAAAAAAAUAAUAAAGCUGUGCUGUGUGCUCCCGAUGGCAGAAAGAAAAACGUGGCGCAGGCAGGAAAGAUGCUCUAUUGAAAUGCAUUAGAAGUCGUGCUGAGUGAAAGGAAAACAGGGAAAUCCGUGUCCAUGAACACGAAUCAAGAGAUUAACUGCAGACUGACAAACAGCAGCACCUCAUCAGCUUUUUCUUGAUUUAAUGAACUGCUUCGUGCACAAGCGGUAGCUCUAAUUACCUCAACAUUAGCGAUUUUCGUCAAAUAUAUCGACUAAUCCAAAAAGAUGAACAUCCUCCCGAGAAAACGCGUUUCUUAUUUUCAUCAACUCUAAACAGUGAAGAUCCACGAAACAAAUUCAGAACAGAGAAACGAAGAAACUCACCGAGAAGGAAUAGACUUUCUAAGCUUGGUCUGUCCAGCGCAAAAAACCAAAGCAAAGCUUGUUCUUUAUACAUGGACACUAGCAGGACAAAUGUCAUGAAAGCAGCUGUUGAUUGUGUCUCAUCAGCUCCUGUGAUUCUGGAUCCAAACACUGCAGAUCCAGGUCUGAUGAUCUGAGCAGAAACAGACACUUCCUGGUAAUCCAGAGAGGGUUUUGAGUCAGGAAGGUUAAAAAGACCAACCUCCUUCACUCACACACUCUUUCCUUUCUUCUGGUGAUAUAUGGUUUCCCUUUUGAGGAUCUUAUCAUUAAAGUCAGUAGCUGCAGUUAAUAUCAAGUCACUUAAUUUCAUACACGAUAUGCCCAGAUAUUUUCAGGGUUGUUACAGUCAUGGAAAACCUGGAUAUUGUGAUAUCCAGGCCUGAAGAAACCUAGGAAAUAAAUAAAAACUUAAAAGAAAAAAAAGUGAAAAAUCAUGGAUUUCUUUUAUAUUUAAUACAUUUUCAUUCAUUACACUCUUUCCUAAAACCUUUAAUCUUGUGUUACAAUGCACUAAAUUAAAACACACAGUGAGGGGUUAAAAUACGGAGGGCAGCUUUCCUGACAUCUAGUGGUGAAAAUGUGCAAAUGACUCAAAAAUGAAACUUCUGUCACCGUUUACUCUCAACAGUGUUGUUCCAGACAUCAUGCAUGACUGAGUUUAUUCCGUGGAAACAAAGUGUGAUGUAAUGUUUGUGGAUGCAGACACAACAGAGCUGUUUGUGAGAAUGAGAGACAGAGAGCUGAAAUGAAAAAGCUUUCAGUAGCAGAUCACCCAGACCUCAGCACUUGUGAUAGACUGUCAGUGAAGCUGACUGAUGUAGAUUUAUUACUGGCCAAAGAAAGAGAAUAAAAGAUGCAUUUGUAGCCUUUGAGAGCAUCUCUGGAUGGUCAGUGCAGGUCCAGUCACAAUGUCCAGCAUUUCUGGCCCAGCAUUCAUACACAUACAAAUGAAUGAAUACACUGGUUUCAGAGCAUCCGAAGGCCUUCUGGGAAAAGAUUUUCUUGGUUUCACCAUGCUGCAGACAGACAGUGCUGAUAGAGGAGACUCUUCACUAGUAAGAAAACACAACUCAUAACAGUAUAAAAAACUCAAUAUUAACUUGAACUCCAGUGUUGACCAGACAAACCAGAACUCCCAGAUAACUACAGAGUCUCACAGAAAAGAUUUGAGGGCCUUGAAAAGGUUGCAGUCAGAUGUAGUGCUGCGUCACUGAUCUAAUGAAGAUGUGAAUGAUCAUGUUAAGGCAGGGGAGGUUCUAGACUCUUUUUUUUUUUUUUUUUUAGGUGGACUUAGCCCCCUAUCUGUCGUCUCAGCCCCCCUAAAUCUAUCUGAAUGAUCGGGCCAGUGCUGCUUCCUCAAAAAAGUUUAUCAUAUCAUAGUUUAUAUAUUAUGUUUUAAGUCUUGUCAGUUUAAACAGAAAAGUGAUUUUAAGCCAUUCAAGCUCAAGACUGUGCGAAAGAGAUCUCGAUGUGGUACUCGCUUACUAUCAUAGAUCGUCUCUGUGUGCGCACACAAGAAAGCCAUCUGACAGCGCACAUAGGCACAAAAUUAUGUGUCUCGAAGUCUUGGUGAGCAUUGAUGUAAAAACAGUCGGUUACGUCUUAAGUGAACGUAAAAAACAGUUAUCAAAAUAUCAGAUGUGCAUUAAUAUAAUGGACCCGCGCAUUUCUUAUGUUAAUAAUGUUAAUCAAACAACAAAAGAAAAAUAGAGAAUCACUCGCUGCUCUUAACUAAGUAACUUCCGUAGUUUUAACGGAUAUUUGUGUAUAUUUACUUAAUACAAUAAAACCAUUUUCACAAGCACUUAUUUAGGUCUUUUUAUCUUUGUAUCAGUGGCAUAGGCAGAAUUUUUAUUUUCGGUGAGCAUGUGCUGAAAAAUCCUGUUGAAAAAUAAACCAUAGAACACAGUGGAAGACAUGCAUAGUAAAACCAGGGGUGUAAAAUACUUGAUUACUGUACUUAAGUAUUAUUUUGGGGUAUCUAUUUAUUCAAGGACAACUUAAACUCACUACUUGUACUUUUACUUGAUUACAUUUCUGAAAAUAACUUCUGAGUCCAUACAAUUUUAUUUAAACAACUUGAAAAGUACUCAUUAUA